GAUGAACGCUGGCGGCGUGCCUAAUACAUGCAAGUCGAGCGAACGGACGAGAAGCUUGCUUCUCUGAUGUUAGCGGCGGACGGGUGAGUAACACGUGGAUAACCUACCUAUAAGACUGGGAUAACUUCGGGAAACCGUAGCUAAUACCGGAUAAUAUUUUGCACCGCAUGGUUCAAAAGUGAAAGACGGUCUUGCUGUCACUUAUAGAUGGAUCCGCGCUUCAUUAGCUAGUUGGUAAGGUAACGGCUUACCAAGGCAACGAUGCAUAGCCGACCUGAGAGGGUGAUCGGCCACACUGGAACUGAGACACGGUCAAGACUCCUACGGGAGACAGCAGUAGGGAAUCUUCCGCAAUGGGCGAAGGCCUGACGGAGCAACGCCGCGUGAGUGAUGAAGGUCUUCGGAUCGUAAAACUCUGUUAUUAGGGAAGAACAUAUGUGUAAGUAACUGUGCACAUCUUGACGGUACCUAAUCAGAAAGCCACGGCUAACUACGUG
rnacentral:rRNA from 1 species